rnacentral:rRNA from 1 species
UACGUAGGGCGCAAGCGUUAUCCGGAAUUAUUGGGCGUAAAGAGCUCGUAGGCGGUUUGUCGCGUCUGCCGUGAAAGUCCGGGGCUCAACUCCGGAUCUGCGGUGGGUACGGGCAGACUAGAGUGAUGUAGGGGAGACUGGAAUUCCUGGUGUAGCGGUGAAAUGCGCAGAUAUCGGGAGGAACACCCGUAGCGAAGGCGGCACUCUGGGCCGGAACUGACGCUGAGGAGCGAAAGCGUGGGGAGCAAACAGG